GUUUAUUUUCAGAGGAGGCCAUUAGUAUUGGAUAAGUGACUGGUGUUCUAGUUCUUAGGGAAGAAUAUUUUUCCCACUCUCAGCAAUCUGUAGUUGCCUACAGUUCUUUGUGGGGAGUGGGGGUUGAGGCUUUGUGGUCUUCUCCCAUCUGCUUUGGCAUGUCUUUUCUACUUGUUAGUUAAUUUUUGAGCAGUCAUGUUGGUGAAACGUUAUCAGUAUAGCUUUCUGACCUUCCUGGAACACAUAAUCUCAUGGUAAGCUCCCUGAUUCUCUGGCUCUUACCAUAUUUUUAUCACCACCCAUUCCACAAUGGACCCUAAGCCACAGAGGUGUUUGGUGGUGGUAUCCAUUGGGACUGGGCUUCACAAUACUGCACCGUGAUAAGUUGGUUUUUUGUAAUGGUUUCUUUCUGUUGCAGGGACAUUUCCUUGAUGAGAGGUGAAGACUAAAAUUCUUCACGGCUAUAAGGACAAACGUUUCAAAUGUAAUUAGGGAUUUGGCUGCUUUUGUAAAGUGAUAAUGUUCAGUUCUCUCUCAAGAUUCCUGACUUCACUCUCUCUGCUUAGUUGGCUAGAUUUCCAGUACCAGGCAUAAUUUAUCUCUUACUGAGAAUGGUUUAAGUCCAAUUAGAGAGCUGUUGGUCAUCAACAAGGUAUGCAUACCACAAAUUCAUGCCAUACUGGUCAUUAUGUUUCAAAGGCAUUAUAGUUGAAGGGAGAUGUUGGGUGCUUUUCUCCUAUGAAGGCAUGCAUGCUCUUUUAGAAAACCAUGAAAGCUAGUCCUCAUGGAGGAGGUAUUCAUGGCAGUGCUAGUUCCAGGUCCCUUGGCCCUUUACCUGAAUGAAGUACACAGUGUCUGCAGCAAUAGGGGCUUACCUUCCACCUUUGCUGGCAGUGGAGUGGCAAUCAAGUGGAAAACCAUAGUCUGUAAUGUUUUAAAUGUGUCCUCAGCAUCACUCAAAAAUAAGCACUCCAAAGUGUGCUUCUCAUGCCUGGUAGGGGGAUUCUCAUUAAAAGGACUUCGGCUCUCAGAGGGAGUAUUAUCAGCACAGAUGAGAAAAAAUAUUUUAAACUAUAUAUAUCUAUAUUUAAUCCCAGACCGAUGUGAAUUAUAGGUUAUUGACUGGUUUAUCUGGGUGUUUUUUUGUUUGUUUGUUUGUUUGCUUUUGUUGCUGCUGCUGUUAUUUCGGUAGCUAGUUAGUUAAUGAUUUCUAAUGAUUUCUCAGACAUCUAUCCUGUUAGCUUACCUUUUCUCCCUUCUUUUACAUUCAUGUCCCUCCCCAUGCUUAAUUACAGUCACUCUGCUUUUUCACAGUUUAGUAUUCAGAUCACUUGUACCCUGCUAUCCCCUUCUCUAUUGCUCCCCAACAGCCCUACCUGACAACAGUUGUCUUUUACUCUCCUUGUUUCUGUAAUUACUCUGGGAUUCGUACUCAGGUCUGAGUAAUAGAAGCCAGGAGCCUCAGCAGAGGGAGAACAUGUGACAAAUGUACUUGGGGUCUGAUCAAUAUUAAUCGUUUAAAAACAUUUUAAAGUGGGGCUGGAAUGAUGGUUCAGUAUUUAAGUGUGCUUUAUACUCUUGCAGAGGAUUAGAGUUUGGUUCCGAGUUCCUGGUUGUAGCUCACAACCACCUUUAACUCCAGCUCUAGGGAACCCAACAUUCUCUUCUUGUCUCCAUUCCCACACAUAAAUACAUACAUACAAAUAUAUAAAAUUAAACUUUUAAAAAUAUAAAGCAAUCAUUUUUUUUUUACUGAAAAUGCCUAUACAAACAUUCAAGUGAAUAAUCAUACCCAGGGAACAUUGCACAGUAUCACAACUCAAAUAAAAUGAAAGUU
rnacentral:lncRNA from 1 species